GCAAGCUUCUGCACUUUUUGCUCUUGGAAAGGAAAAUGAGGCACAUAUAGCGCUCCGGGAGGGUUCUGUCCUUGAAAGUAAAAAGAACGCAACAACCUGACAAUUAGAAAAUGAAAGACAAAUUUCUCUCCGUCGAAAUUGUUGUUCUUCUGAAGACAAGAACAGAUCACAGCUUCGUACAUAUUGCAAAACGUGACCUAAGGAUUGACAACAUCUAGAAUAUGAAUGGAGAGAAAUGGAGGUACUUUUACCGCACCAUAAUUCGUUCAUAUUGUCAAGUUCAAGUUUUUAACAUCGCUUCUGGAUGGGUUGGUUUGCUGAGUUUUCUGAGGUUGUUGGUAACUUCCUUUCUUCAAAUUACACUAGUCUUGCCUGCAUUUGUUCCUUUCUUUUGCCUUUAUUUAAUACUAGC
rnacentral:misc_RNA from 1 species